rnacentral:lncRNA from 1 species
AUGAGGCCAUUAGAGAGUUUGUUAGACCGUUGGAGGAGUUUGUUAGACCGUUAGAGGCCAGCUAUAAGUGAGAUGAGCAUAACUGUAUGCAUUAGCUGGAAAUGAUAUCAUACUUAGCUGCAAGUGUCAGCUGGGGAUGAAUUGUAGCAUGACUGUAUAUGAGAUCGUGGCUAGCUGUGACUUAGUUGUAGAGAUUAUGGUGGGCUCUUGCAGAAUGAUUGUUGCCUCUAAUGUAAUGGCUCACCUAGGUAAAAGACCGAGGUGAGAUCAAGUAUCAUAUAAGAUCGGAUAUCUCAGAUAUAUGGAACACUUUGCUU